rnacentral:rRNA from 1 species
GACGAACCACACAAACGUUAUUCGGAAUUACUGGGCUUAAAGGGUGCGUAGGCUGCGCAGAAAGUUGGGUGUGAAAUCCCUCGGCUCAACCGAGGAACUGCGUCCAAAACUACUGUGCUCGAGGGAGACAGAGGUGAGCGGAACUUAGGGUGGAGCGGUGAAAUGCGUUGAUAUCCUAAGGAACACCCGUGGCGAAAGCGGCUCACUGGGUCUCUUCUGACGCUGAGGCACGAAAGCUAGGGUAGCGAACGGG